UACAGAGGGUGCGAGCGUUGUCCGGAAUCACUGGGCGUAAAGGGCGCGUAGGCGGCUGGGUAAGCGUGUGGUGAAAGCCCGGGGCUCAACCUCGGGUCGGCCAUGCGAACUGCCCGGCUGGAGCACGGUAGAGGCACAUGGAAUUCCGGGUGUAGCGGUGGAAUGCGUAGAGAUCCGGAAGAACACCGGUGGCGAAGGCGGUGUGCUGGGCCGUGGCUGACGCUGAGGCGCGACAGCGUGGGGAGCAAAC
rnacentral:rRNA from 1 species